CUGGUUGAUCCUGCCAGUAGUCAUAUGCUUGUCUCAAAGAUUAAGCCAUGCAUGUCUAAGUAUAAGCAAUCUAUACCGUGAAACUGCGAAUGGCUCAUUAAAUCAGUUAUCGUUUAUUUGAUAGUACCUUACUACUUGGAUAACCGUGGUAAUUCUAGAGCUAAUACAUGCUAAAAACCUCGACUUCGGAAGGGGUGUAUUUAUUAGAUAAAAAACCAAUGCCCUUCGGGGCUCCUUGGUGAUUCAUAAUAACUUAACGAAUCGCAUGGCCUUGUGCCGGCGAUGGUUCAUUCAAAUUUCUGCCCUAUCAACUUUCGAUGGUAUGGUCUUGGCUUACCAUGGUUUCAACGGGUAACGGGGAAUUAGGGUUCUAUUCCGGAGAGGGAGCCUGAGAAACGGCUACCACAUCCAAGGAAGGCAGCAGGCGCGCAAAUUACCCAAUCCCGACACGGGGAGGUAGUGACAAUAAAUACUGAUACAGGGCUCUUUUGGGUCUUGUAAUUGGAAUGAGUACAAUUUAAAUCCCUUAACGAGGAACAAUUGGAGGGCAAGUCUGGU
rnacentral:rRNA from 1 species